rnacentral:tRNA from 1 species
GCCUGGGUAGCUCAGUCGGUUGAGCGUCCAACUUCAGUUUAGGUCAUGAUCUCACAGUCCGUGAGUUCAAGCCCCACGUCGGGCU